GUGGGGAAUAUUGCACAAUGGGGGAAACCCUGAUGCAGCGACGCCGCGUGGGUGAAGAAGUACUUCGGUACGUAAAGCCCUAUCAGCAGGGAAGAAAAUGACGGUACCUGAUUAAGAAGCCCCGGCUAACUACGUGCCAGCAGCCGCGGUAAUACGUAGGGGGCAAGCGUUAUCCGGAUUUACUGGGUGUAAAGGGAGCGUAGACGGCAUUGCAAGUCCGGAGUGAAAGCCCACGGCCCAACCGUGGGACUGCUCUGGAAACUGUAGAGCUGGAGUGCGGGAGGGGCAGGCGGAAUUCCUAGUGUAGCGGUGAAAUGCGUAGAUAUUAGGAGGAACAUCGGCGGCGAAGGCGGCCUGCUGGACCGUAACUGACGUUGAGGCUCGAAAGCGUGGGGAGCAAACAGG
rnacentral:rRNA from 1 species